rnacentral:lncRNA from 1 species
AGCCCAUGAGUCUGAUGUCCAGGACCUCAGAGCAAGUUCAACGUUGGAUUCCUGGAGCAGUGUGGUUUCUCUAGCACACUCCCAGCACUCAGCUCUCCAGCCUCUGGAACCUCCCAAGAAUCCAAAGACACAGCUGUAGCAGGUCUGUUUAUUAGCACACCAGCUGGAAGAGAGAUU